GAAGAAAAGAGACAUCCUUGCUUUGUCAUUCAGUGCAGUGCAGGACAGCAGCCUGAUCUGAUUGAUGCCUUGCUAUGGACACACACACUGCCUGAUGGGGAAUGGGGUCUGCGGCCGGCAAACCCGCCGAACACACAGCAUCUGAUGCUGCUUCAGAGCCCAACAAUUCCAACUCUUUGACAUGUCCACCCUCGAAUGAUCCUCCUGGAGCCCCAGCCAUCAUCAUCACCGCACCCUCCCGUGAGGACCUGUUCGCCUCCAAAACAGGACCAUCCAUAGCAGAGGCCAACAGAGAGAGGAGGCCAGGGGGGACACCGAUCGUAGUGGGACGCAGAUUCAUCACUGGAAAAGCCUGACAACACCGGACAUAACUGAGAGACACUGACCUCAGAAGAGUGUUUGAAGGAAGCUGAUGAAAGCCUUUGAGCCACGUUGCCUGCUGGAGAGUCAGACUCUACAACCACUCACAACCUUCACCACAACCCCAACCAAAUCCUUGCACACCACCUACUGCCCACCUGCAUAUAAAGACAUAUUACAGUGUGUGUGGGCUGUACUGAGAUUAUCUAUCGUUAUGCAGUCAUUAUAUCUUCUCACAGUAGUGAGUGUCCAGAUCACACACAGAUGACCCUCAGCGCACACUUCUCACACACAUACAUAGUUUAUUUUGUUAAUUAAGUGUUAUUAAAGAUUAUGUUUGCUUUAUUUAUAUCAGCUUGUUUACAUCAGCUCUUUAUUAGCUCUGGAUGAAGUGGGAGGGUGUUUUACCUCAGCGAGGAGGUUUUACACUGUGAGUUAAACCUGCUGUUUACUUCUCUAUGUAAAUAUGUGCUGCUCUUACCAGAUAAUAAACCCUGGCUUUGAGUUUCAUUUUCCA